rnacentral:lncRNA from 1 species
AUUAAAUCUAACAAUAUCAUAUCUAAAAAUAUUAUAAAGUUUAUCCCUUUAUAGUUUCAUGUUAUAUAAACAAAAAAAUCUCAACGUAACAAGCCAAUUCUUCAACUCCAAAAUCUGCCCAAUUGUAAGAUUAACAUAGAUUACGAUUUAACAUCGGUAGAAUGAUGUAGUAUAUAUGUGUUAUUAAUUAGAUCAAUGUACGACUUAUAGCGUUAACAUAAUAUUAUUUAUUUUAUUUACUUGUGUUAUUGAUUAGAGAUAGAGUACCCAAAAACCAAUGGAAAUCUAAUAAAAGUAAUGUUAGUCAAGAGAUUUUGUAAGUAAUAAUGAACUAUUAAAGUUUAAUCAAACAUAGGAACGUGAAUCACUUGAUAGGUGAAUUCACAAUUAUUUUUAUAUUGUUUAAAAGAAAACUUAAAAUAAAAAUUAUCUUUAAAAUUGUUAGUUACUUCAAAUUUUAAUUUAAAAACUAAAUUAAUAAAUUUUCUGUUUUACGUGUAAA